CCUCCAUUUCUUGGAGUACUCAUGUGUGUAAUGUUCAGAGGGAAACUAAAGGCAGUGCUAUGUCUUCGGUGCCAGUGUGUGUGAGAUCGUCUGCCGGUUCUGUCCUCAAUCACUGUUACAUUC